rnacentral:rRNA from 1 species
ACUCCUACGGGAGGCAGCAGUGGGGAAUUUUGGACAAUGGGGGCAACCCUGAUCCAGCCAUUCCGCGUGAGUGAAGAAGGCCUUCGGGUUGUAAAGCUCUUUCAGCUGGAACGAAACGGUUCGCUCUAACAUAGCGGGCUAAUGACGGUACCAGCAGAAGAAGCACCGGCUAACUACGUGCCAGCAGCCGCGGUAAUACGUAGGGUGCGAGCGUUAAUCGGAAUUACUGGGCGUAAAGCGUGCG